rnacentral:rRNA from 1 species
UACGUAGGGUGCGAGCGUUGUCCGGAAUUAUUGGGCGUAAAGAGCUCGUAGGCGGUGUGUCACGUCGGCCGUGAAAACCUGCAGCUUAACUGUGGGCGUGCGGUCGAUACGGGCAUCACUGGAGUUCGGCAGGGGAGACUGGAAUUCCUGGUGUAGCGGUGAAAUGCGCAGAUAUCAGGAGGAACACCGGUGGCGAAGGCGGGUCUCUG